UGACACCCGCCUGCCACCUCUUGCUUGGGAGGCCCCUGAGGUUGGCUCUGUCACAGUCUCGGUGCAUUCUAGACAGCCUGUGCUCUGCCCAAGUCCCCAUCAGGAUGCCUAGCCCAGGAAGACUAAAGUCAGCUCGGCCCCUCCACCAUGCAGGGCAAAGUCGACAGAGGCGUGCCUUCUACUAGAGAACUUUGGCCACAGCUAGUAGACAGCUCAGACAUGACUACGACCAGGGACAGUGAGCAGACCAAGGAGAGGCAGGCAGCUGAGUCCCAAGUUUGAGGAAGACAGGAUAACAGUAUUUUCCUGCUGGGAGAGCUGAAAAGUGGCCAGUGAGGGGAGAGUCUUGCAGAAGUCAUUGAUCAAUGGAUCACAGACUCUCAAGCAAGGCGGUGGUGGCCCAGGAGUUUAAUUCCAGGACUCAGAAGGCUGAAGCUGCAGAGCUGUGAGUUCGAGGCCAACCUGGUCUACAGAGCAACAGCUCUCCUCCAUGGCUCCCCACUUCUGACCUCGCUCGCGGUUCAGAUACCUCUCGCACCCGACUCGUGUCUACCCAUUUUGCCGCUCGUUAAAGCCCGGUACUCCUUUCCAAGGGGCCCAUCCGCCUCUGUGUGGGGCAGCGGAACCCCAGGGCACAGAGGAAUGACGCCAACCCGGAAAGGCUGCACGCCAGUGGUCCACCCGGAAGUGCGCCCCCCAUCAGGUUCCCCAGAGCCCCCAGCACCGAUCGGCCACGCACCCACCUGUCCUAGUAUAGCUGCAGCCAUGAUCCCGUGCGGCCGGUAACUGUGCCGGCCUGGGGCGCGGCCUGGUGAAAGGCAUUCCGGCCCCGCCCUGCUCACGCCCCCUCCCGCAGAUGGCUGCUUCUGCAAGCCUCACUUCUGCCAGGCGGUUCUUAGUGAUAGGACCUCAGGGACCCAGACUCUGCUGUGAAAAACAUGCGCUGGAACAGUCCAGAUCUGUCAUACACUCUCUCCCUCCUUGCCUUCACCCUGCCCUGCUCCAUCCCAGCCA
rnacentral:sRNA from 1 species